CACAAUUCACCAUUAGACAAUUACGAGAGAAAACUAUAUAUAAAAGUCUACACUUAAAACAAGCUCAAACAAUCAUUAGAUAAUAACUCAACCAUUUUCCAUAGCAUCUCCACAUUAAUACUAUUUCUACUCAAUAUUCAACACCACAAAAUACACUAAUCAAGAGCUCCUUUCGCUCAUCACACAAAUCAAUAACCACUUUAACAUCC
rnacentral:lncRNA from 1 species